rnacentral:rRNA from 1 species
AUAUGCUGAUCUAAUUUCUAAUAUAUCAAUAAAAAUAAAGAACAUAAAACACAAAUGAAGAACAGUAAUGGAAUAAAAAUACUAAAAACUAAAUACCAU